CGAACGGCAGCACGGACUUCGGUCUGGUGGCGAGUGGCGAACGGGUGAGUAAUGUAUCGGAACGUGCCCAGUAGCGGGGGAUAACUACGCGAAAGCGUAGCUAAUACCGCAUACGCCCUACGGGGGAAAGCAGGGGAUCGCAAGACCUUGCACUAUUGGAGCGGCCGAUAUCGGAUUAGCUAGUUGGUGGGGUAACGGCUCACCAAGGCAACGAUCCGUAGCUGGUUUGAGAGGACGACCAGCCACACUGGGACUGAGACACGGCCCAGACUCCUACGGGAGGCAGCAGUGGGGAAUUUUGGACAAUGGGGGAAACCCUGAUCCAGCCAUCCCGCGUGUGCGAUGAAGGCCUUCGGGUUGUAAAGCACUUUUGGCAGGAAAGAAACGUCGCGGGUUAAUACCCCGCGGAACUGACGGUACCUGCAGAAUAAGCACCGGCUAACUACGUGCCAGCAGCCGCGGUAAUACGUAGGGUGCAAGCGUUAAUCGGAAUUACUGGGCGUAAAGCGUGCGCAGGCGGUUCGGAAAGAAAGAUGUGAAAUCCCAGAGCUUAACUUUGGAACUGCAUUUUUA
rnacentral:rRNA from 1 species